GUCCCUGUAGCGCAAUGGAUAGCGCGUUGGACUUCUAAUCCAAAGGUCUUGCGUUUCGAAUUUCACCUGGGAUG